rnacentral:rRNA from 1 species
AGACGGGGACCCGCACAAGCGGUGGAUGAUGUGGAUUAAUUCGAUGCAACGCGAAGAACCUUACCUACCCUUGACAUGUCCGGAACUUGCCAGAGAUGGCUUGGUGCCCGAAAGGGAAUCGGAACACAGGUGCUGCAUGGCUGUCGUCAGCUCGUGUCGUGAGAUGUUGGGUUAAGUCCCGCAACGAGCGCAACCCUUAUCAUUAGUUGCUACGCAAGGGCACUCUAAUGAGACUGCCGGUGACAACCGGAGGAAGGUGGGGAUGACGUCAAGUCCUCAUGGCCCUUAUGGGUAGGGCUUCACACGUCAUACAAUGGUCGGUACAGAGGGUUGCCAAGCCGCGAGGCGGAGCCAAUCCCACAAAGCCGAUCGUAGUCCGGAUUGUUCUCUGCAACUCGAGAGCAUGAAGUCGGAAUCGCUAGUAAUCGCAGGUCAGCAUACUGCGGUGAAUACGUUCCCGGGUCUU